rnacentral:rRNA from 1 species
UACGAAGGGGGCUAGCGUUGCUCGGAAUCACUGGGCGUAAAGCGCACGUAGGCAGAUUGCUAAGUCAGGGGUGAAAUCCUGGAGCUCAACUCCAGAACUGCCCUUGAUACUGGCGGUCUCGAGUCCGGGAGAGGUGAGUGGAACUGCGAGUGUAGAGGUGAAAUUCGUAGAUAUUCGCAAGAACACCAGUGGCGAAGGCGGCUCACUGGCCCGGUACUGACGCUGAGGUGCGAAAGCGUGGGGAGCAAACAGG